AGUCGACGGGAGCACGGACUUCGGUCUGGUGGCGAGUGGCGAACGGGUGAGUAAUACAUCGGAACGUGUCCUGUAGUGGGGGAUAGCCCGGCGAAAGCCGGAUUAAUACCGCAUACGCUCUACGGAGGAAAGGGGGGGAUCUUCGGACCUCUCGCUACCGGGGCGGCCGAUGGCAGAUUAGGUAGUUGGUGGGGUAAAGGCCUACCAAGCCGACGAUCUGUAGCUGGUCUGAGAGGACGACCAGCCACACUGGGACUGAGACACGGCCCAGACUCCUACGGGAGGCAGCAGUGGGGAAUUUUGGACAAUGGGCGCAAGCCUGAUCCAGCAUCUAUGCCGCGUGUGUGAAGAAGGCCUUCGGGUUGUUAAAAGCACUUUUGUUCCGGAAAAGAAAAACCUCUGCCCUAAAUACGGCGGGGGGAUUGACGGUACCCGGAAGAAUAAGCACCGGCUAACUACGUGCCCAGCAGCCGCGGUAAAUACGUAGGGGUGCAAGCGUUAAUUCGGAAUUUACUGGGCGUAAAAGCGUGCGCCAGGCGGUCCGCUAAGACAGAUGUGAAAUCCCCGGGCUUAACCCUGGGAACUGCAUUUGUGACUGGCGGGCUAGAGUAUUGGCAGAAGGGGGGGUAGAAUUCCACGGUGUAGCCAGUGAAAUGCGUAGAGAUGUGGAGGAAUAACCCGAUGGCGGAAGGCAGCCCCCCUUGGGCCCAAUACUUGACGCUUCAUGCACGAAAAGGCGUGGGGAGCAAACCAGGAUUAGAUACCCUGGUAGUCCCACGCCCUAAACGAUGUCAACUGGUUGUCGGGCCUUCAUUGGCUUGGUAACGUAGCUAACGCGUGAAGUUGACCGCCUGGGGAGUACGGUCGCAAGAUUAAAACUCAAAGGAAUUGACGGGGACCCGCACCAAGCGGUGGAUGAUGUGGAUUAAUUCGAUGCAACGCGAAAAACCUUACCUACCCUUGACAUGGUUCGGAUCCCUGCUGAGAGGUGGGGGUGCCCGAAAGGGAGCUGGUACACAGGUGCUGCAUGGCUGUCGUCAGCUCGUGUCGUGAGAUGUUGGGUUAAGUCCCGCAACGAGCGCAACCCUUGUCCCUAGUUGCUACGCAAGAGCACUCUAGGGAGACUGCCGGUGACAAACCGGGAAGGAAGGUGGGGAUGACGUCAAGUCCUCAUGGCCCUUAUGGGUAGGGCUUCACACGUCAUACAAUGGUCGGAACAGAGGGUCGCCAACCCGCGAGGGGGGAGCCAAUCCCAGAAAACCGAUCGUAGUCCGGAUCGCACUCUGCAACUCGGGUGCGUGAAGCUGGAAUCGCUAGUAAUCGCGGGAUCAGCAAUGCCGCGGUGGAAUACGUUCCCGGGUCUUGUACACACCGCCCGUCACACCAUGGGAGUGGGUUUUACCAGAAGUGGCUAGUCUAACCGCAAGGAGGACGGUCACCACGGUAGGAAUUCAUGACUGGGGUGAAGUCGUAACAAGGUAGCCGUAUCGGAAGGGCG
rnacentral:rRNA from 1 species